UUGUUGCACAUCAGGGAGGUGCCCUGCUGUCACACCGAUGCUGUCGGGUGGCAUGUGUGAGUGCUGAGAAGCUGGGUCGGUGGGUAUUUACUAGUGACGGUAGCUGUAAGGAUCACAGUAGCUGUGUUCUAGAGCGAAGAGGAAGACUCAGGAAGGCCAGAAAUGAAGUCAUGUGUUUCAUUUUAGAGAACUGGCAUGUUACAACUUAGUGGAAUUACAUGAACUCCUCUCUGCCCCCACCUCCCCCAGACUGCUGGGCCUACCCAUAAUGCCGGUAGGAACGCAUUACAUUUUUAGAGACCAUCUCAGAUUGAAUCAAUGGAGCAAACGUGUUAUUUCACCACUCUUGUACCAUCAGUGAUGGGUUCACCAGAGUCCACCAGUGUGCCCUGUAAGUAAGAGAAAUUACAUGGAUUCUUGACUAUUUGUGUGCAGAUGUCUAAUACCUAGUGUUUAAAAUCCCAGGGUUAGUGGAUGAGAUGGAAGCACGUGGGUUUUGAGCACGAGCUUUCCCAACCCGGGUUACGGCUCAGACUUCUGUCACAAACUUACCCGGUGUAGACAUGAGUGCAGAUGACGAAGGGUGGCGGUAUCUUUGUCUUCUGUCCUUUUCCCACUUCUCUGCUCUUAAAGGAGCCUAAAGGCAAGUGAAUGGAAAACAGUCGCCAAAGGAUAGCAUAGAAACAAAACUGGCCUCUAGGUGGUGCUUGAAAGCAGUUCAGGGAAGGCUGGCCUCCUUCAGGGUGAAGAGUAUAGGUCGGCUGAGCCUGAGUAACCAGCCAGCUCCUGGGCAGAGUCUCCAACAGACUGCCAUCACCUGUUCUAGCCUCUCCAGGUGGCUCACUGGGCCGCUUCUAAUGCAUUUCUUUUUUCACCUCUUCCUGGGCCUAUAAGUUUGGAUUCUAUUUUUGUGUAUAAAUCACCACUGUUAGCCAAAGUUGUCAAACUAGAGGGGGAGAAUGCACUGAACCCCAAAGCUUUUGCUGAUCCGAGGUGGUUUUGCCACGAAGCCUUACUCUGAAACAUCUGCCUGCUUCUGUCAUGGUUCCCUAUUUGCCCAGCCCAGUCUUGCCCAGAUGGGGCAGGCUGGGCCUGCAGGGGCCAGGCUUCCGUUUGCCUGCAGGUGGAGUAUUGACUAAGGGAACGGCUUAUCCUUAUUUUAGAUGAAGUUCUUAAAAAGGGAUCACAGCUGCUACAUCUGAUAUCAGGUACUAACCUUUAAUUCCUGUUAAAACCUUUGCCAGCAAUAAAAGCAAAGACACGCCCCUGCCCCACCCCCUAUAAAUCAUCCUAAAAUGUGGGUAGUUGUGUGAAUCCAUGAAAACAGCCUAUUCAUACACACAUGCUCACUGAGAAGCAAACUCUAGCAUAAAAAUUUAAGAAUCUGUAAAUCCAGUCCUUUUAACAUAUACUUUUUUUUUUUAUUAAAUAUGUAAAAAGAUAAACGCAAGUCAAGUUAUUCACAUAUUCAGAGACAAAAAAACUAUUCUACCAUGCGACAAUAGGCGGGUAAUGUAAAAUGAAUGAGAUACAUCUGAAUAAGACUUUUUCAUCUAUUAUGUCAUUACUUAUCUAUAUUUAUAAUUAACAAUACAUAUGUUUACAUUCCUUUCAGUUUACAUUUAAUAUAUAACAAAAGCUUUAUGGUGUACUAUUUAGUAAAAGUAAUCUGAAUGCAUAUUAAACCUUAACGGAAUAAUGGAAAUACUCACCAGGGAAGGGAGGAGUUCUUGGUUCCCUUCUGGAGUUUACUUCUCUCUGGUCAACAAGGUGUUUGUCUUUUCCUUUUCUGCUUUUCUGCUUAGAAAGAAGAGGGGCUCGCUCUCUCUGCCCCCUGCUUCAAUCACUUCCUAUCUGACAUGAGCAGCAGAAGUGCUAUAACCAGCCACAGCAGGUACACCUCAGCUGACAGAUGGACAAGGCGGCAGUUAACCAAUGAAUAAGCCGAGAUACCUGUGGCCCGUGAGGGAAAAGGUCCUGAAAAUGAUAAAGAGAGGCACUGGAGAGAUGUCAGGUGAUCUGCUCUGGAACCUUCCAUUAAGUUUCUACAACUGUGAACUGAACUGCGCCUGUUCACUGCUGCACACGCCCUGCUAUCUGCAUUUCUGUAUCUUCCAAACAUUCUGUUCUAGGAUCGUCUGACUCGGAGAACCAAAGGGCAGCCACCAUCAAAUAAAGACUUAAGGAGGCCUCUCCAGCAAACACCUGCACCUGAAAUGUCCACGUAGGGCUCAUCUGUGUUUUCCUGAAGAAUAGGCACUCAGGCAGGAGCACACUAAGAAGGCAGGAAUCUCCCCUGGGGCAGCCCUGCCUAUCGGCUGCUGCCACCAGCAUUCAGUGGCCCGUGUCAACUCUGAAUUUGGAGUUUGAGAGCGCCCCUGUACAAGGACUCCAUCUGGGGAGACUGGGGACAAGAUCCAGCUUGAGGUGACCAUCGCAAGGGUUUUCCUCCUGCCGACAGCACAGGGCGGGAUAGAUCUGGCCCUGCAUGCUGCCGUCCUCCCUCAGUGGGCCUGGUCCUUCAGCUACACAGUGCUGGGGAGACUGCAUUGGAUUUAGCCUCCCACAAGCUUGUGAAGAGAAUAACUAUAAUUCGCAUAGUACCUGACAGACUACCAAGCACUCAGGGUGGUGCGGGCACACUAGACAUCAACCGGAGCUUUCUGCCAUCAGAUCUGAAAAUACGGAGAACCUUAUUUUGUGGAGCCAUCGCUGCCUCUGGGACCUGGCAAGGCAGCGUCCCAGGACUUCAAGAUCUAUAGUCUGAGCCAAUGGUAACUGAGAAAGAAGCUUAAAAAAAAAAAAAGUGGUGGGGGGAAGGGUGGGAAAUGAAAAAAAGUGGAGAAGCCUCAAACCUUGGAUUUAAUCCCUCGAAUUCCAAAUCUUACGUGGAGUAAACAUUUGUCUGGUACUGGGCUGGAAUAAGUCAUAAAGUACCCUUGCCGGUGACUCGUUCCAUUCUGUCCAAGUGCUAACACACGCAACUCGACCACCAGGCUCUGGGUGCAGCCCCAGGCCUCCUGGGCCAACAGAGUCAGACUCUUCCCUCAGCUUCAACACGGCCUCAGGAAGAGCUUGAGACCCCCGCCUACUCUUCUGCAUCUUCCACAGAGCCGCCCUGUAGAAGGUGACGCUCCUUCAGGCUCCCAUGCUUGUCUUGGUGCCGGGGCCCCUCACUCCCUGCACUGGCAGACUUCUUCUCCCGCCUUGCCUUCCCUUCCCUUCCCCUCCUUGAUUCUUGAGAGUUUUGGUCCUCUGCUGCUCCUCACACCUGCUUUCCAUCACCAGGAUGGAUCCACCUCCCGGGUCCCCGCCUUCCUCAUGCUCCUGAGUAGCAAGCCCGACAGCCAGGUCUUCCCCGCAGUGAAUUCUAAAAGCGUUUUUCAACUGAGGGCUGUUGUACAGCACCGGUCUGUACUGGCAAUGAGUAACCGAGACAACCGGCUCUGAAAUA